rnacentral:misc_RNA from 1 species
AUUCCGAUGUUGGCUAUUGCCAGGUGGGUAUUUAUGGGGUUAAACUUGUCUGAUUAUGAAGGGUGCAAAUGUAUAAACGUUAAGACCUAAGAGCAUACAACAGAUAAUAGCAUGAUCUUGCUGCCAAUUCUUUCACAUGGCUUUGGCAACAGAUCAAGAUGGAUCUUGAUAUACAUUGCAUAUUUGAAGUUCUAAUUUUUAUUCAAAUUUCAUGUCAUGUAUCAUAGUUUUCAUCACAAAAGACAUCGUUUUCAAAUACUUUAGUAAUGCAUGCUACUAAUGCCUUUAGAUUGCAGCAUACAAAUUCUCAUAAGUAAAAUUUACUCAUCAUUUUCAAAUGCAUUUGAUCUUAUUCUUUACUCCUAAUCAUAUCAUAGUUAUUAUGAUAUUCUGACAUAUUCAUAUUGUUACAUUUAUAUCACUAUGCUUCCUUAGCCAUCUCAAUAUGAAGCUGCCUAAAUCCGUGGCUGAUUUGUAAAGCAUGGACAAUCUUAUUGCCGUUGUAGAAUUGGUUCCAGUGUAUUUAUCAGCUCAGAAUGGCUAUAUAUGCAUAUCCUGAUCAGAAUCAUUGUUUCAAUUUCUGGCUAAUUAAGGAGCAUGUACCACAUUUUUAAAAUUUUGAAAAUUUAGAGGGAUUAUAAAAGUAGAUGAGCCAAUUUGUUUUAUGGGCUGUAUCACCAUCACCUACCAAGAUUUUGUUUCCCAUGUGUACGUCCUCUUUUGCAUAAUUGGAAUUGAGGGGAAAAAUGGUUCCUACUUUCUACUAACUCCUGCAGUAUUUGUCAACUAGCUAUCAACAUCAUUUAGUAGGUCAUGACUUACUUUCUUAGCAUGUUGCUAUUUUAUUCGUAAUAAAUAACAAAUUCUACUUUUAUAUUGUGUACUGUAAUGAUCCUAUGUACAGGGUUUAAAUUAUGUUGCAGCA